rnacentral:SRP_RNA from 2 species
GCUGGGCGCAAUGGCUCACGCCUGUAAUCCCAGCAUUUGGGAGGCCGAGGCAGGAGGAUCACUUGAGCCCAGGAGUUUGAGGCCAGCCUGGGCAAGAUAGUGAGAUCCCGUUUCUA